UUUCCACGAUGCCACAGUCCCACAUGGACGAGAGGAUUGCAUUUGAGCAGAUACUGAUGGGGGUGCACAGCUGCAACUGUCGCCUCCAUCUCUCUCCACACCAGAACUAAUGUCUACAGCGCCCGCCCCCAUCUCUUUCUACCGCUCUCCCUCGGUCUCACUCUCUUCUUUCUGCCUCUCCAAGGGGUGGGGGUGCUGUAUUGAAAGAGAAAUGGAAGGGGUAUCGGACAAAAGGGGAAUCUUACAUUCUCUCUUUGGGAUGUUGGGAUCUCUGUGGGACUUGAACUAGAAAAUGACCCUGGACAGAAAAACAUUCAAUUGACGAGCACAUCCAUGGCAGGAGAAGAGGAGCUUGUCUUUCCAUCUUUGCGGUCCCCAGAAUGAGGAUGAGGAAGAUGCAAGAAAAAGUGGGCAGGUUUGAAGUGAAGCGGAGGAGACAGUCCACCAUCACCCACCCGCGCCGCAAACCCCCAAGCUCCACAUCAGUAUGCAGUGGUUGUUGCUAAGGCAAUGGGGGCCUAGCUGCAGAAACAUCCAUCGUGCAAUAGAGAGCAGGAUAGCAGGUAAGGACAAUGACAGCGAGACAGGGUUGUGAUAGAAUUGAGGGGAGAAGAGGAAAAGCAUGGAUACAUUUUCCUGAACAUACAGAUGACACUACUGUACUGUAUACCUGUCUGCAUCACUGUCCGAUGUGCAUUGACUGGAGGCCGUACUGUGACCACUGGAUCUGUCGACACUGCAGAAACUCAAAAUCUUACCGAGAAUAUAUGUCUUAUUUCUACGAAUCUAAACUAAUCGGAUUCCAUUUAGUAUCAGUCUCGUCACCUAAAAAGGAACUUGUUUUAAAGCAAUUUUCACUUGUGGCAAGCAAAACGUCAUUUCAACUUCAUAGAGCAAUUUGUCAUUUUAAUAAUAAAAUAAACCUGACUUUUUUCUUUGAAUUAUUUCCAAUAAAAAAUAGCUCAAAACAAGUGAAAACUGUCUAAAAACAAGUUAGUUUUUCGCUGGUGAAUCUUAUUUUAAGUAUAAUCAGAUUAGUUUUGACUAGAAAGAAGAGUUUGAGAUUCCGCAGUGUACUUGAUAGCCAAUACAAGACAAGAAAAAAUAUCUUCCCUGUGAAAGACAAUAAUACUUAGUUUUGAUUGAGAUAUGAACUUAAUGUUUAUUAUUGUUGUUGUAUUUCUCGAUUCACUCAACCUUAACACACAACUGUACACAGAAAAGUGUAAAUUGAAACCCAAAUACUAUGAAGAAUGCUUCUUGCUAAACUGCUACUGUCAUUCCAUGCUGGUUAAUUGCAACCUGUGAAUGAUUACAUUUUUCUUUUAUAUUUUACUGUUGAUGUUUGCUGAAUUUCUGGAACCAAUUUAUUUGUGCUUUCCCCCCCCCCCCCCCCCCCAAAGGGAGGAGCACAAACAAAAUUCCGUUGUGCCUGUGCUGCUUUGCAGUUGUACAAAUGAAUGAAUCUUUCUAAGUAUAGUUCUAAAUUUGCAUACUGAGAGGAUAAUAUGCUGACUCUUUCAGCCCAAAUUAGAAACCCCUCGCAGUAUGACAGUGUUGUUCUACACCACCACUGGUAAUCAUAUAGUUCCAUUUUAUUUAACAAUGUGAAUCAAAAUACAUUCAUACAGCUCUUUCAUUUGGUCUCAUUAGAUUGUCCAAAUGUUGUGGCAAAUCUGUGUUAAAUCUAGCUCCUUAAAGGUAGAUACGCGUAGUGAAAGAAUGUGUAAGAAUAAAUAGUUGUAUUUGUAAUCAUUAUUUUGCUGAGUCAGGUUGUAGUACAGCUAUGGAUUUUCCAAAACAAUCGCAUGUAUUUCUUCUUGCAGAUGUGUACAGUAUGUGAGUUGUACUGUAAAUAAACUGAUCUCAAAAGAUAAUGCUUUUUUUUCAGUUUCUUUGUGUACAUGUCUAAUGUGAAUGUAAUGUAAUGUAAACCAACAAACAAGGCAGGAAUCCUCCAAUUUCCUCUCGAAACAAUCCCAAUGUUUUCACUAGCGAGGCUUUCAUUCCCCUUGAUAUGUAAUAUAUUGGCUUUGUUGCCGAAGGCACUAUGAGCUGUAUAAGACAAGAACUCAUAUUUUGUGUGUGUGUGUGUGCGCGUGUGUGUGUGUGUGUGUGUGUGCGCGUGCCUAUGUGUGUGUGUGUGUAUAUGUGCAACGAGGGAGGCAAUGCGGCUAGGCUGCAGAUAUCAUCCAUCUCCCUGUCAGCGGCCCAAGGGCUGCUGGGAAAGUGGCAGGCACCUCCCCACCUCCAACAACAGACGCUGCAUUCAAAUGUUCCGUCACAGAAAGCGCUGCAAAACCUGCGGCGCUCCUCCUUCGCCUCACCGGGACGCAAAGCCAUUAACCCCGUGAUGCGGGGAUCACAGCCGAAAAGAGUUCAGUCUGGCCACCGCUGCUGUGAAUCACAUCAGCAUGCAACAUCCAACUGUUGCGAUUUGGACGAGCAAAAUACGAAGGGUACUCAAAAGGUAAUGAGCCCGAUUUUCCUCUGGCUUUAUUUAUUGCAAUAGAAAGACAAUAUACGAUUAGAAAUAAAGCCCAAAAAGUGGGGAUUUCAUCACUACUUUUUAAUAUACAGGUAAUCUCCCUUUUUCUCAACGACGCCUGUCCAUCGAGGAACGGGGCCAUGUUUGCCAGCCUUGUAAAAUGGAUUCGGCUGGCCUUUUAACCAGUUUUUACAGCUUGCUCAAGUUUUUUGUCAUCCGAGAAGUGCAGUCCCCUAACUCUUUUUUUAAAAGUCCAAAAGGUGACAAUACGAUGGGGCCAGAUCGGGUCAUGGAGGUCACUCAAAGCAGGCUCUUUUGGGCUGUGCUGUAGCCCAUCACGGCUUCCCCUUACAUAUUUUGCAAUCUUUUGAAAAUACUUAGUGGUGGGUCCCCUUCCAAAGCAAGAACGUCAACCACAGUUCUUCUGACGGGCAUCCAACAAUGACAACAUUUCUAAAAUGGCUGACAGGAAGAGGCCUUGCUUAAGCAAAACUUUUAUUUUAAAUAAAUCUUCAAACAAGUAUUUAAACAACAAAUUGUGUACAUUUCGGAAUCAAAAAUAUUUUAAUUAUUAGUAGGUUAAAUUCAAUUGGGCUCAUUACUUUUUGAUUGCCCCUUGUAGUAUCUUACGCAAUCUCCACUUUAUAAAGCAGUCAUUACACCUUAAACACAGCUGGUACAAAACUGCACAAAUGAAGUAACGUCACAUAAAAAAAAUCCUUAAAUCACAUUAAAUAUCCGUCCGGGAAGUUUGGGAGCGGUGUGUUGUGACAGCCACUAUAACUGGAUUACAUACUUUCUGCCUGGCCGUGACUAAUUGUUGCUAAAGCUAUUGUUCAACAUUGUAUAGCUUUUGUGAUACGCCCGGAAAAUUCCAAGUGUUCUUCUUGUGUCUGAGCCUUAAGCUUAAAAUAAACUACAUCAUGCAUCAAAUCAGCAGUAAUAUGCCACAUGUGAAUCUGCCCCAAAAAAUAUAAAGCAAUUUAAUUCAUACCCAAGAUAAAUUGACUGUUAAUGUGAAUUUUUAUUUGGUGAAUGGAUAUCAACUGGCUGGAAAUGACACAAGAAAGUGACAAAAAUAACUGUAAAAUUGUGCUUAAAGAUGUUAAUGAAAAAAAAAAUCAUUUGACACAAUGAUACAUGCUCAAGAUAAUAACCUAAUAAUUGUUCACACUGCCCGACAAGUAUUCAUUUCACUGUAGUUGUCGUUUGCACCUUAUUUUAGCUAUGUAUUAUUUACCUCAUGUGGCUUUAUGAGUGAGACAACCACUUUACAAUAAGGUUAGCCCUAUAAGUAAUUUAUAAAUUAGUUGUAAAUUAUUUUUAUUUUUUUAAAACUGUUGUAAAUAACAGUUUAAUGUCAAUUGUUUACCUCACAAUUCUGGUCAUUGACGUGACUGUAAGACUUUACAGUUGUCUCCAACUCUUUAAUUCUGCUGCCUCCUUGAGCUACUACCAUUUAUGUAAUUUAUAUUAUUCAUGAGACAAGAGCAAAAAGGGUAAAUGAGAAGAGCAUUUUAAGAUUUUCGAUGAACCCAAUUGUGGGCUUAUCUAAUGACUCAUACUGUUUCGCAAGUCUAAAGGAAAGGAUUGCCAAAGUAAUUAAUAACAAUGUGUAAAUAUUUAAACCUGUACACUCUAAUGUAAAGCGGUACCUACGCAAAAAACAAUAUUUUUACACAGAGAAAAUGUGGUGUUCGAAUCUCAAUAAGUUGAAACACUGAGAGUCAACUCUCCGCACAUAAUAACAUUACCAGUGGGACAAAGUUGAUCCACGUUUUUGUGCCAAAAUCAGCUAACGCACCUCCUGUCCAUGAGCUCAGCCCAAAUGUCAACAAUUUUCAUAAUCAUUUGGCAAGCAUUGUGGAUUUAAUUUAUUUGGAUACCAUGCAGUACAUUAGGUCAAGGACCCACCAACUGUUGGCCAUUAUGUUGUAGUGUUACAAUCCAUUAUAGUCUUCUUACACAAUGGACUCAUUGAUUACAUGCGCAAAUGAACGGGAUUGCUGACAUGCUGGUAGUUUGUUCCCUUUUUCAAUUUUUGCACAAAUGAGAUAGGCAUAUAAAAACACAAUUGCCAAAUGCUCCUGGAGUAUUUGCCUUUUGUCCGAAGUCAGCUGGGACCCUGCACAGGAUAAGCAGAAUAAAAAAGAAAAAUGACUGGAUGUCCACAUGCGUCUUUAAACUGAAUUUAUUUCGUUGGUAUUCCAUACAUGACCCCCACCUAGCAUCCUGUUACAGUCGUCAACAAAGGCGUUUUUCCACCGAUGAAGUGUACAGAAUAUGUGAAAGAGGAAUUUGGUUUCCAAUGACAGUAUUUCUCAAUUGCUAAAACACAAAACCCUAUUGUCUGAACCAAAUGCUCAGUGCCCUGAACCCACUGAUUGAUUUCUUCACAGUUUUGGUAGAAUCUUAAACACUUUUCACCUUGUUAGACACAACAUGCGAACAUAUUUUCACCCACUAAAACACACGUCGACUCCGAUGCACUUGAGCAGCACAAAAGUAAGCACAGGUAGCAAAAGUGUUUCAAAACAAACGCUGCAACUCAAAAUUGAUCACACUUGUGCCUAAAAACCAACAUAAGCCAUUUCAGUGAGCAACGGUUUUUGAAGUUUCACGAUGGUUAAAGCCAGAGAGACAGUGGCCAAAUGUGAGCGAAAGAAGUGGUAGAGGAGGAAGAUGAGAGAGAUGAGGUAUAAGACAAAGAACAUUUACUGUAUUUCAGAUGAAAUACAGGCAACCUUCGUAGCUCAUGUGCUUUUCCACGGUUUGACAGAGAGGAAAGCGGCAAGGCAGCGAGUGCAGUUUGACCUAAGCAGUUUCAUUGUGUCCACCAUAGUCCGAAGAUUCACAAACGUGAACAGCUAAUUGCUUUUUUUUCAUUAGGUACGCACAGUAAAUGUUUACAGUAUGACUCUAUGCAGUGCUGUACACAAAAAAAUGUGUUUCGAUACAUCCAUUUUCAAAAAUACGUGUAGGCCGAGUACUUUUUCAUUUUUUCAUUUUUUCACGACAAGUGCUAAACAGGAUUUCGUUUUGUUUUGCAAAAUGCAUCACCAUUGUAAACAAUAAAGAUAAU